rnacentral:rRNA from 1 species
UACGGAGGGGACUAGCGUUGUUCGGAAUUACUGGGCGUAAAGCGCGCGUAGGCGGAUUUGCAAGUCGGGGGUGAAAGCCCGAGGCUCAACCUCGGAACUGCCUUCGAUACUGCGGGUCUCGAGUCCGGGAGAGGUGAGUGGAAUUCCUAGUGUAGAGGUGAAAUUCGUAGAUAUUAGGAAGAACACCAGUGGCGAAGGCGGCUCACUGGCCCGGUACUGACGCUGAGGCGCGAAAGCGUGGGGAGCAAACAGG